ACGCUCGACACCUACUGGAGGCAGCAGUGGGGAAUAUUGCACAAUGGGGGAAACCCUGAUGCAGCAACGCCGCGUGAGUGAAGAAGUAUUUCGGUAUGUAAAGCUCUAUCAGCAGGGAAGAUAAUGACGGUACCUGACUAAGAAGCUCCGGCUAAAUACGUGCCAGCAGCCGGGUAAUCUGAGCGGGCUGGCAAGGC
rnacentral:rRNA from 1 species